rnacentral:rRNA from 1 species
CCAAUAGCGUAUAUUAAAGUUGUUGCAGUUAAAAAGCUCGUAGUUGAACUUCGGGAUCAAUUGAUUGGUCAUGCCGUUGGUAUGUACUGGUCAUAUUGGUUCUCACCUUCUAAGGAACCAUGAUGUCAUUUAUUUGAUGUUGUGGGGAAUUAGGACUGUUACCUUGAAAAAAUUAGAGUGUUUAAAGCAGGCUAACGCUUGAAUACAUUAGCGUGGAAUAAUGAAAUAGGACAUCGCAUUCUAUUUUGUUGGUUUCUAGGAUCGAUGUAAUGAUUAAUAGGGAUAGUUGGGGGCAUUAGUAUUCAAUUGUCAGAGGUGAAAUUCUUUGAUUUAUUGAAGACUAACUACUGCGAAAGCAUUUGCCAAGGAUGUUUUCAUUAAUCAAGAACGAAAGUUAGGGGACCGGAGACGAUCAGAUACCGUCGUAGUCUUAACCAUAAACUAUGCCGACUAGGGAUCGGAUGAUGUUGAUUUUAUAAUGACUCAUUCGGCACCUUACG